UUUCUCACAUUCAUCCCUUCAUAAUGACAUGGAAUGCCUCCCUAAUGGAACUUCCAUUUUAUUUUUUUAAUGUAAUCAUUACUGCACCAAUGUAUAUGUAAUGCCUCCUUAAUGGAACUUUCUCUGUUUUGAUGGUUAAAAAUGCUAGUGUUAUGAAUUUAAGAAACGAACAGUCAAUUUAGAGAAGAUGCAGUGGAGUUGUUUGCUCUUAGUGCAUCUUUAGAUCCUAUGGAUGGGUGUUGUUUGUCAUUUGAUAUUGGAAAUAUUUACAUGUUUGAAAAUAAAUAUUUGAAAGUUCAAUUGCAACUUUUUCACAUAUUGAUUUGGCUAGUGUUGACUUUGCCUUCACUGAACGAUAGUAUGUGUGUUUUCAUGUACAGAUGCAUUUGAUUCAAGAAAAUAGAGGUGAAUGCAAUUUAAAUAAACCAAUUUUUGUGGAUUGUAAAAUUGUAGAUUUUCUUACUUUUGUUUUCAAAGAAGGAAGUGUUUUCUAUUUGUGGAUUGAAUUUAUUUAAAUUUAAAAGAAUUUUUAUUGAUUUUUUUCUUAUAAUUUUGUAUCUAAAAGCUAGUUGAAAUCAAUGAAAUGAAAGCUAAACUCAUUCCAGAAAUGAGUUUCCUAAAUAAAUACUCAGAGAUUGAAGGAUUAUAUUUGAUGAACCAUUUUAAUUCUUCCACACCAGCUCGCAAACACCAAGGCCCAAACAC
rnacentral:misc_RNA from 1 species